rnacentral:tRNA from 1 species
GUUGUUGGGCCGAGUGGUUAAGGCGUGUGCCUUUGCUAUGUACAUGGGUUUCCGCUGAGAGUUCGAAUCUCUCAGGCAACG